rnacentral:tRNA from 1 species
GGGAUUGUGGCUCAGGGGUACAGCACAUGCCUGGCCUGUAAGAGGCCCUGGGUUCCAUUCUCAGCACCCCA